rnacentral:rRNA from 1 species
GAUGAACGCUAGCUACAGGCUUAACACAUGCAAGUCGAGGGGAAACGACAUCGAAAGCUUGCUUUUGAUGGGCGUCGACCGGCGCACGGGUGAGUAACGCGUAUCCAACCUGCCCACCACUUGGGGAUAACCUUGCGAAAGUAAGACUAAUACCCAAUGACGUCUCUAGAAGACAUCUGAAAGAGAUUAAAGAUUUAUCGGUGAUGGAUGGGGAUGCGUCUGAUUAGCUUGUUGUCGGGGUAACGGCCCACCAAGGCGACGAGCAGUAGGGGUGCUGAGAGGAAGGUCCCCCACAUUGGAACUGAGACACGGUCCAAACUCCUACGGGAGGCAGCAGUGAGGAAUAUUGGUCAAUGGACGAGAGUCUGAACCAGCCAAGUAGCGUGCAGGAUGACGGCCCUAUGGGUUGUAAACUACUUUUAUAAGGGAAUAAAGUGAGUCUCGUGAGACUUUUUGCAUGUACCUUAUGAAUAAGGACCGGCUAAUUCCGUGCCAGCAGCCGCCGUAA